GCCCGGGUGGUCUAGUGGUAUGAUUCUCGCUUAGGGAAAAACCCCAAGCAUGUCUGCGAGAGGUCCCGCGUUCGAUCCGCGGCUCGGGCC
rnacentral:tRNA from 1 species